AUUGAACGCUGGCGGCAGGCCUAACACAUGCAAGUCGAACGAGUGGCGGACGGGUGAGUAAUGUAUGGGAAACUGCUUGGUGGCGGGGGAUAACUACUGGAAACUGAAGCUACUACCGAAUACCAUCGGAUGUGCCAAGAUGGGAUUAGCUGGUAGGUAGGGUAACGGCCCACCAAGGCGACGAACCGUAGCUGGUCUGAGAGGAUGAACAGCCACACUGGAACGGAGACACGGUCCAGCCGCCUUCGUGAGGCAGCAGUGGGGAAUAUUGGACAAUGGGCGCAAGCCUGAUGCAGCCAUGCCGCGUGUGUGAAGAAGGCCUUCGGGUUGUAAAGCACUUUUAUCGAGAAAGCGUUACUCACAGAAUAAGCACCGGCUAACUCCGUGCCAGCAGCCGCGGUAAUAC
rnacentral:rRNA from 1 species